rnacentral:tRNA from 1 species
GCCCUUGUAGCGCAGCUGGACAGCGCGCCGGUCUACGAAGCCGGAGAUCGGGAGUUCGAAUCUCCCCGAGGGCA